rnacentral:rRNA from 1 species
GAUGAACGCUAGCGGCAGGCCUAACACAUGCAAGUCGAACGGUAACAUGAGAGCUUGCUCUUGAUGACGAGUGGCGCACGGGUGCGUAACGCGUAUGCAAUCUACCUAUAACUGAGGGAUAGCCCAGAGAAAUUUGGAUUAAUACCUCAUAAUAAUAUUUUUUGGCAUCAUUAAAUAUUUAAAACUCCGGUGGUUAUAGAUGAGCAUGCGUUCUAUUAGUUUGUUGGUGAGGUAAAAGCUCACCAAGACUACGAUAGAUAGGGGGCCUGAAAGGGUGAUCCCCCACACUGGUACUGAGACACGGACCAGACUCCUACGGGAGGCAGCAGUGAGGAAUAUUGCACAAUGGAGGAAACUCUGAUGCAGCCAUGCCGCGUGCAGGAUGACGGCCCUACGGGUUGUAAACUGCUUUUUUACAAGAAGAAACCUUGGUACGUGUACCAACUUGACGGUAUUGUAAGAAUAAGCACCGGCUAACUCCGUGCCAGCAGCCGCGGUAAUACGGAGGGUGCAAGCGUUAUCCGGAUUUAUUAGGUUUAAAGGGUUCGCAGGCGGAAUUUUAAGUCAGUGGUGAGAUCCUAUAGCUCAACUAUAGAACUGCCACUGAUACUGAUAUUCUUGAGUGUAGAUGAAGUGGGCGGAAUAUGUCAUGUAGCGGUGAAAUGCAUAGAUAUGACAUGGAACACCAAUUGCGAAGGCAGCCCACUAAACUAUUACUGACGCUCAUGAACGAAAGCAUGGGGAGCGAACAGGAUUAGAUACCCUGGUAGUCCAUGCUGUAAACUAUGAUCACUAGAUGUUGGCGAUAUAUUGUCAGUGUUUAAGAGAAAUCGUUAAGUGAUCCACCUGGGGAGUACGUUCGCAAGAAUGAAACUCAAGGGAAUUGACGGGGGCCCGCACAAGCGGAGGAACAUGUGGUUUAAUUCGAUGAUACGCGAGGAACCUUACCAAGGCUUAAAUGUAGAUUGACAGAUUGUGAAAACAGU